rnacentral:rRNA from 1 species
AGUGAACGCUGGCGGUAGGCCUAACACAUGCAAGUCGAACGGCAGCACAGUAAGAGCUUGCUCUUACGGGUGGCGAGUGGCGGACGAGUGAGGAAUACAUCGGAAUCUACUUUUUCGUGGGGGAUAACGUAGGGAAACUUACGCUAAUACCGCAUACGACCUACGGGUGAAAGCAGGGGAUCUUCGGACCUUGCGCGAUUGAAUGAGCCGAUGUCGGAUUAGCUAGUUGGCGGGGUAAAGGCCCACCAAGGCGACGAUCCGUAGCUGGUCGGAGAGGAUGGUCAGCCACACUGGAACUGAGACACGGUCCAGACUCCUACGGGAGGCACCAGUGGGGAAUAUUGGACAAUGGGCGCAAGCCUGAUCCAGCCAUACCGCGUGGGUGAAGAAGGCCUUCGGGUUGUAAAGCCCUUUUGUUGGGAAAGAAAAGCAGCAGGUUAAUACCCCGCUGUUCUGACGGUACCCAAAGAAUAAGCACCGGCUAACUUCGUG